GCCAUUGUGGCAUAGUGGUUUGAGUGUUGUACUGGUACUCUGGAGAUCAGGGUUCGAUUCCCCCCUUGGGCA